rnacentral:rRNA from 5 species
GACCCCAUGCCGAACUCAGAAGUGAAACGCCGUAGCGCCGAUGGUAGUGUGGGGUCUCCCCAUGUGAGAGUAGGGAAUUGCCAGGC